rnacentral:rRNA from 1 species
UACGAAGGGGGCUAGCGUUGCUCGGAAUCACUGGGCGUAAAGGGCGCGUAGGCGGCGGGGUAAGUCGGGUGUGAAAUCUCAGGGCUCAACCCUGAAACUGCACUCGAUACUGCUCUGCUUGAGGACUGGAGAGGAGACUGGAAUUCACGGUGUAGCAGUGAAAUGCGUGGAGAUCGUGAGGAAGACCAGUGGCGAAGGCGGGUCUCUGGACAGUUCCUGACGCUGAGGCACGAAGGUCAGGGGAGCAAACGGG